rnacentral:rRNA from 1 species
AAUAAGCUAUUUAAGAGCGUAAGGUGGAUGCCUUGGCUCUCAGAGGCGAUGAAGGACGUGAUAAGCUGCGAUAAGCUGCGGGGAUUGGCACACACAAUUUGAUCCGUAGAUUUCCGAAUGGGGCAACCCACUAUAUUGAAGAUAUAGUAUCCGUUAAGGAAGCAAACCCAGGGAACUGAAACAUCUAAGUACCUGGGGGAAUAGAAAACAAAAGUGAUUCCGCUAGUAGUGGCGAGCGAACGCGGAACAGCCCAAACCAAAAUUGUUUCGGCAAUUUUGGGGUUGUAGGACCACGACAUUGAAUGUUUAAUGAAUUAGAAUUCUUUGG